rnacentral:lncRNA from 1 species
UCAGGCCUCGACAAUAACGCUUGUCCGAUUGUCCGGUACCAGAGCAAAAAAAGGUCGGACAAGUAAAAGCUAUGUCAAGCUUGUCCGACGGGACAAGUAAAACUAAUUCUGCAGAAAAUUAGUUUGAUGAACAAAGUAAUUAUAAACAAAACAAAAACAAGAAGAGAAGAGAAGAGAAGAUAAAAAUAAAAUUUUGAUUUGACAUGUUUACUUGCAAUCGAAUAUUUAAAAC